rfam:Vogesella sp. EB contig00055, whole genome shotgun sequence.
GGGGGAUUAGCUCAGUUGGGAGAGCACCUGCUUUGCAAGCAGGGGGUCGUCGGUUCGAUCCCGUCAUCCUCCA